rnacentral:misc_RNA from 1 species
UUUCCGUAGGUGAACCUGCGGAAGGAUCAUUAUCGAGUUUUGACUCAGUUGUAGCUGUGCUUCCGAGGCUUGCGCACGCCCUGCUCUUCCACUCUACACCUUUGCCCUUACUGUGUGUUUAAGAUCGUUAUGCGUUCUCUCUUACAGUUGCUUGUGAAGCGUGUCUGCGCCGCGUUUAUCAAAAAUAUUAUAAAGUAUCACAAUAUGCAUUAGGAUGCAACGCAUCUAUAUACAACUUUCAGCAACGGAUCUCUUGGCUCUU